rnacentral:rRNA from 1 species
UGGUGAAGUGAUUUGUCUGGUUAAUUCCGAUAACGAGCGAGACCUCAGCCUGCUAAUUAGGUAGUCAAAUCUUCGGAUUUGUACUAGCUUCUUAGAGGGACUAUCGGUGUUUAGCCGAUGGAGGUUUGAGGCAAUAACA